rnacentral:rRNA from 1 species
UUCCAGUCCAAUAGCGUAUAUUAAAGUUGUUGCAGUUAAAAAGCUCGUAGUUGAAUUUCGGGGUUAGUAGGUUGGUCAUGCCUCCGGUAUGUACUGAUCUCACUGAUUCCUCCUUCCUUAUGAACCGUAAUGCCAUUAAUUUGGUGUUGCGGGGAAUUUGGACUGUUACUUUGAGAAAAUUAGAGUGUUUAAAGCAAGCUAACGCUUGAAUACAUUAGCAUGGAAUAAUGAAAUAGGACGUUCGAUCUUAUUUUGUUGGUUUCUAGGAUUGACGUAAUGAUUAAUAGGGAUAGUUGGGGGCAUUAGUAUUCAAUUGUCAGAGGUGAAAUUCUUGGAUUUAUUGAAGACUAACUACUGCGAAAGCAUUUGCCAAGGAUGUUUUCAUUAAUCAAGAACGAAAGUUAGGGGAUCGAAGACGAUCAGAUACCGUCGUAGUCUUAACCAUAAACUAUGCCGACUAGGGAUCGG